rnacentral:rRNA from 1 species
UACGUAGGGGGCAAGCGUUGUCCGGAAUCAUUGGGCGUAAAGAGCGUGUAGGCGGCUUGGCAAGUCUGGUGUGAAAUCUUGCGGCUCAACCGCAAGCGGUCACUGGAAACUGCCUCGCUAGAGUCCGGAAGAGGAGAGCGGAAUUCCUGGUGUAGCGGUGAAAUGCGCAGAUAUCAGGAAGAACACCCGUGGCGAAGGCGGUUCUCUGGGACGGUACUGACGCUGAGACGCGAAAGCGUGGGGAGCGAACAGG